rnacentral:rRNA from 1 species
UACGAAGGGGGCUAGCGUUGCUCGGAAUCACUGGGCGUAAAGCGCACGUAGGCGGCUUCUUAAGUCAGGGGUGAAAUCCUGGAGCUCAACUCCAGAACUGCCUUUGAUACUGGAGAGCUUGAGUCCGGAAGAGGUGAGUGGAACUCCGAGUGUAGAGGUGAAAUUCGUAGAUAUUCGGAAGAACACCAGUGGCGAAGGCGGCUCACUGGUCCGGUACUGACGCUGAUGUGCGAAAGCGUGGGGAGCAAACAGG